UAGAGUGCNGUAGGGGAGACUGGAAUUCCUGGUGUAGCGGUGGAAUGCGCAGAUAUCAGGAGGAACACCGAUGGCGAAGGCAGGUCUNUGGGCUGUAACUGACGCUGAGAAGCGAAAGCAUGGGGAGCGAACAGGAUUAGAUACCCUGGUAGUCCAUGCCGUAAACGUUGGGCACUAGGUGUGGGGGACAUUNCACGUUUUCCGCGCCGUAGCUAACGCAUUAAGUGCCCCGCCUGGGGAGUACGGCCGCAAGGCUAAAACUCAAAGAAAUUGACGGGGGCCCGCACAAGCGGCGGAGCAUGCGGAUUAAUUCGAUGCAACGCGAAGAACCUUACCAAGGCUUGACAUAUACUGGACUGCGUCAGAGAUGGCAUUUCCCUUCGGGGCUGGUAUACAGGUGGUGCAUGGUUGUCGUCAGCUCGUGUCGUGGGAUGUUGGGUUAAGUCCCGCAACGAGCGCAACCCUCGUUCUAUGUUGCCAGCACGUGAUGGUGGGGACUCAUAGGAGACUGCCGGGGUCAACUCGGAGGAAGGUGGGGAUGACGUCAAAUCAUCAUGCCCCUUAUGUCUUGGGCUUCACGCAUGCUACAAUGGCCGGUACAGAGGGUUGCGAUACUGUGAGGUGGAGCUAAUCCCUAAAAGCCGGUCUCAGUUCGGAUUGGGGUCUGCAACUCGACCCCAUGAAGUCGGAGUCGCUAGUAAUCGCAGAUCAGCAACGCUGCGGUGAAUACGUUCCCGGGCCUUGUACACACCGCCCGUCAAGUCAUGAAAGUUGGUAACACCCGAAGCCGGUGGCCUAACCCUGGUGGGGGGG
rnacentral:rRNA from 1 species